rnacentral:miRNA from 1 species
GGCGUCGUCCAAAGCGCUCC